rnacentral:rRNA from 1 species
GACGAACGCUGGCGGCGUGCCUAACACAUGCAAGUCGAGCGAGUUAAUCUCCUUCGGGAGUGAAACUAGCGGCGGACGGGUGAGUAACACGUGGGCAACCUACCUCAUAGAGGGGAAUAGCCUUCCGAAAGGAAGAUUAAUACCGCAUAAGAUUGUAGCUUCGCAUGAAGUAGCAAUUAAAGGAGCAAUCCGCUAUGAGAUGGGCCCGCGGCGCAUUAGCUAGUUGGUGAGGUAACGGCUCACCAAGGCGACGAUGCGUAGCCGACCUGAGAGGGUGAUCGGCCACAUUGGGACUGAGACACGGCCCAGACUCCUACGGGAGGCAGCAGUGGGGAAUAUUGCACAAUGGGGGAAACCCUGAUGCAGCAACGCCGCGUGAGUGAUGACGGCCUUCGGGUUGUAAAGCUCUGUCUUCAGGGACGAUAAUGACGGUACCUGAGGAGGAAGCCACGGCUAACUACGUG